rnacentral:rRNA from 1 species
UACGGAGGGGGCUAGCGUUGUUCGGAAUUACUGGGCGUAAAGCGCACGUAGGCGGCUUUGUAAGUUAGAGGUGAAAGCCCGGGGCUCAACUCCGGAAUUGCCUUUAAGACUGCAUCGCUCGAAUUGUGGAGAGGUAAGUGGAAUUCCGAGUGUAGAGGUGAAAUUCGUAGAUAUUCGGAAGAACACCAGUGGGGAAGGCGGCUUACUGGAACCAUAAUGACGCUGAGGGGCGAAAGCGGGGGGGGCAAACAGG